rnacentral:rRNA from 1 species
UCUCAGUUCGGAUUGGAGUCUGCAACCCGACUCCAUGAAGCUGGAUUCGCUAGUAAUCGCGCAUCAGCCACGGCGCGGUGAAUACGUUCCCGGGCCUUGUACACACCGCCCGUCAAGCCAUGGGAGCCGGGGGUACCUGAAGUGCGUAACCGCGAGGAUCGCCCUAGGGUAAAACUGGUGACUGGGGCUAAGUCGUAACAAGGUACC